rnacentral:rRNA from 1 species
CUAACAAGGAUUCCCCUAGUAACGGCGAGUGAAGAGGGAUCAGCCCAAAUUUGUAAUCUGGCUCUUUUCAGAGUCUGAGUUGUAAUUUUGAGAACUGUUUUCUGCUCUGGACCAUGUACAAGUCUGUUGAAAUGCAGCAUCAUUGAGGGUGAGAAUCCUGUUCAUGAUAUGGACUACCAGAGCUUUAUGAUAUAGUCUCUAAGAGUCGAGUUGUUUGGGAAUGCAGCUCAAAGUGGGUGGUAAAUUCCAUCUAAGGCUAAAUAUUGGUGAGAGACCGAUAGCAAACAAGUACCGUGAGGGAAAGAUGAAAAGAACUUUGGAAAGAGAGUUAACAGUACGUGAAAUUGUUAAAAGGGAAACAGUUGAAGUUAGACUUGUUGUUGUUGGUUCAGCUCUUUUAAGGGUGUUUUCUAAUAAUUAACAAACCAAUGUCAAUUUUUGGGUGUUGGAUAAGGGUUAUUGAAAUGUAGCAGUUUUGGCUGUGUUAUAGUCUUUGACUUGGAUACAAUGCUUAGGAUUGAGGAUUGCAGUAAGCCAUUUAUUUGGUGGAACAAUUUAUUGUUCUUCUUGCUGAGGAUAUUGGUGAAAUAGCUUUAAUUGACCCGU